CUAAUAGCCAAUGACCCUGUACUGUCACCCCAAUUUCUACAAAUGCGCUCUGCUUGCCAAACACUGAUAUUAGUUUUCUCGAAAAGCACUCUUCUUGAGUGUUUCCUGCUAUAUUUCAUUCAGAAUAAUAUCGUAAUAACUUAUACAGCGCGAUAUUUAGCAAGUUAUCUGUUUGAUUUUGGCAUUGGGUGAAGGAUCUUGUCAUUGACGUUUUCAUCUUUGUAAAGAACCUUUGCUGGUUUAUUUAAAAAGCAACGUUAAGAAACCGGAAACGUCUCAGAUGGAAAACGAGAUGAAGAUGCAAAAUUUAUCUUUAGAAACCGACAAAUCGUCCCCAAAAACCCAACGUCUCGAUGCUCAGCCUACCGGAAAAUGGCUAUCUUCAAAAUUAAUGGAGAUUUUAUUGCGUGACAAGUUAAAUUAUGCGUGAACACGAAAAAUGCCUCAAAUACAUUCCCAAAAAACCUUUCGUAUUAACAUUGAUGUGGACAUUUACAACAAAAUCCAUUAACAGUCAACACGUCGGUACGAAUUAUUAAUUUUUAAAGUUGAGAAAUUCUACGAUCAUCGGCAACUGAUUUUGUAUGAAGAGAAGAGGUAUCUACGAACAAGGAAUAGGAUCGUAAUAAAAAUCAAAGCGGCAGAAAUUACAAAGUGCGUAAUUACCAGCGGUAGAUCGUCUUGUGACGUAAGGGGCGCAUCUGAACUACGUACGUCUCCGCUGCGAAGCAUUCGGUUUGCAGUAGGUAGGUAUAGCACAGUUGAAUUAGAUAAUGAUAUUUUAGAUUUCCACACAUUUCAUUCUGGAUUCCAAUAUUCAUUCAAUUGUUAAUAGACUCCGAUAAUAACUUAACAGUAAGAGCUCGUCUGCACAUAAACACAAAAAAAAAAACUUUAAUAAAUAUACGUACAUAUUCUUAAAUUAUAUUAGUCUGGCCAUCUUUAUACUGUCAAGUACCUAUAUAAAGCUAUAAAUAAAUAAAUACUGUUACAUAAAAA